GAACCCUUUCUAAUCAUUGAUAUAAAAAGUAAUUGUUGCGUGUGAGUUCCUUGUCAAGAUUGGAAGGCUGACCUGUAGGUCCCCAAGAAGCCUCUAAUGAUGUGUCUGCUGGAUUGGAGUUGUAUCACAGGAUGUCACAUUUAGCAGCGGAUUGUGAAAUGCUUGAGAACGGGAAUUAUAGGAGCAUUAUUUAAUGCUAAGUGUUACCCACAUCAUAUCUGAAGCUUGAACAUGCCAGGAAAACAUCCUUCACACACUGCAAAUAAUCUAUCCAAGCUUUCAGGAUCAAUCAUGAAUUGGCUGGCUGUGUGAAUCUGAUGGCUGCCAGUGGUCCUCAAUAGAAGAUCAAGAUGUGCUUUGUCCUCUUUGGGCCAUGCAACCAAAGACAUCAUAAACCUGCAUCUGGACUGGGCUCAGGUGUUGCUGUGGGCGAAUAAGGGAACCUGCAGCCAUGCUGCAGAUCUGUAGCUCUGCCUCGUGAGGGAAAGAUUAAAAGCACUGGGAGUGAAGUCAAAUUGAGGAAGAACCUCCUUGGGUGGGCAGAACAAAGUUACAGUGCCCAUGGGAAGGCAGUGCCGCGUGAUGAGGAGCUGUGCCAGGGCUGGAGAAAGCCUGAGUCCUGCUGCAUCCCGAAGGAAGCAGAGAUGAUGGGCUUGUGUGGCUUCAAGCAUAAGAAACAACUGCUUCUGAAAGGACAUUUCUUUUGCAACACCUCAAAAAGUGACGUCCAUUGA
rnacentral:lncRNA from 1 species